rnacentral:lncRNA from 1 species
GGGGCGGUGAAGGAUCUGGCGAGAGCAAGCCUCCCCAGCAUGCUCAUUAGCCCUAAGCAAUCGUGUCUGUAAUCAUGCUACUGAAAUGAGGAAGUCCUGAAAGACCAGCAGACUGAGAGAUGACUGAGAAGUUGGAGCCAUGGCUAUUUGUCUAGGACUUGGUGUCAUGAAUUUCCUUUGGUUCACGGACUCUGUGGGCUCCAAGGAGGGUAAAAAAUUCUGACCUGCAGCCUGAGGUCAAAGUAUAAACCUCUUCCUGAAGAGUUCAACUUUCCAUAGAGCUGCUGGACUAGAAUGUAUUAAUGUGAUGUUCAAUUUACCCUCAUUUUCCUUACAUGAAGGGAAAUGUGGACAUUCAGUAAAGGUGCCAAUCAGCUGUGCUUGACAUGACUGGACUAGGUCAGGAAGUUGCAAGUCUUGUUAAGUGCCUUCAGUGCAGAAGCAAUUAGAACCUGAUAGCCUUUUAUUUCUCUUGUCACUUUCAGGUAUUUUUAAAUAUAAUAUGACAGAAACAAAUGCAAUGGGGUGAUUUUUAUUCUACCUAGCUCAUCUAGCAUUGCUGUCAAGUUAAGUUAUAAUUUUGAGAGGAAAUCACCAAAUAACAUAUUUAAUGGUUUUGCUAUGAUAAAUCACAUCAUCAUUAUUCAGAUAGAAAAUCUAAAAUAAUAAUACUAUCUUCUCGAUUUUUUUCU